GGGUGAUUAGCUCAGCUGGGAGAGCACCUCCCUUACAAGGAGGGGGUCGGCGGUUCGAUCCCGUCAUCACCCUCCA
rnacentral:tRNA from 2 species